rnacentral:misc_RNA from 1 species
UUUCCGUAGGUGAACCUGCGGAAGGAUCAUUACAGAGUUCAUGCCCUCACGGGUAGAUCUCCCACCCUUGAAUAUUUAUACCUUAGUUGCUUUGGCAGGCCGUGGAAACACCAUGGGCUCCGGCUUAUGCGUGCCUGCCAGAGGAAACAAACUCUGUUUUUAGUGAUGUCUGAGUACUAUAUAAUAGUUAAAACUUUCAACAACGGAUCUCUUGGUUAUG